rnacentral:rRNA from 1 species
UUUAAUGAGAGUUUGAUCCUGGCUCAGGACGAACGCUGGCGGCGUGCCUAAUACAUGCAAGUAGAACGCUGAGGUUUGGUGUUUACACUAGACUGAUGAGUUGCGAACGGGUGAGUAACGCGUAGGUAACCUGCCUCAUAGCGGGGGAUAACUAUUGGAAACGAUAGCUAAUACCGCAUAAGAGUAAUUAACACAUGUUAGUUAUUUAAAAGGAGCAAUUGCUUCACUGUGAGAUGGACCUGCGUUGUAUUAGCUAGUUGGUGAGGUAAAGGCUCACCAAGGCGACGAUACAUAGCCGACCUGA